UUCGCAAUGCCCGAAAGGGUGACGAAGCGACGCCGCGUGGGUGAGGAAGGCCCUCGGGUUGUAAAGCCCUGUCAGGAGUUAAGAAAUGUAAGUGCGCUAAUAUCGCAUUUAUUUGACGAAGGCUCCAAAGGAAGCCACGGCUAACUCUGUGCCAGCAGCCGCGGUAAUACAGAGGUGGCAAGCGUUGUUCGGAAUUAUUGGGCGUAAAGAGCACGUAGGUGGGUUUGUAAGUCAGAUGUGAAAGCCUUCUGUUCAACGGAAGAAUUGCAUCUGAAACUGCGAGUCUUGAGUGUAGGAGGGGAGAAUGGAACUUCUGGUGGAGCGGUGAAAUGCGUAGAUAUCAGAAGGAACGCCGGCGGCGAAAGCGAUUCUCUGGCCUAUUACUGACACUCAGUGUGCGAAAGCUAGGGGAGCAAACGGGAUUAGAUACCCCGGUAGUCCUAGCCGUAAACGAUGGGCACUAAGUAGAGGGGUUUU
rnacentral:rRNA from 1 species